CUGGCUGUUUUUAUCAGAGCAUCCCUAGACAGGUUUUUGCGGCUGUGGCUCGUAUUGCUUUUCAUGGACUAAUUUGGAGUGCACCGAGAGGUUAAAGUGCCCCUGUGGAAAGAGGGUCCCUACUCUGAGGAGCUUUUGGUCCCAGUGUUACCCGUGCUAACCCGCAUAUGUGAACUCACAUCUGUGCCUGCAAGGUUAGGCCCUAAAUCACGUUGCAGCUCCAUUGGUGAAGUUAAAAGGAGAACAUCGUAUCGCAGCAAAACUACAUCUGAAACAGUUUGGAGUAUUAAGCAGAUUUCUGAGGUGCCUUGUGACACUGAAUGUCUGGUUUUAGUCUUUAGAUCCAGUGAGGAAAAAAUAGAGAUUUCCUUCAAAUUCAGUAUAUUUCCUGCUGAUCUUCAUCUACGCUCUACAGUAACCAAAAUCAGAUUGACCUGUUGACCGAUAAUCUAUCUUAUAGCUCCAAAGCUUGUUGAAAAUUUCAUUUUCAUAAUUAUUAUAGGAUUAAGUGUGUAACAAGUUAGGAUUGGUCAGAAAACAGCAGUUCUGUGGGGGCGGAAGGUGUGAGGUUUGGAUAUUGGUUGUUAGUUGUCAUCAAAGUGAAAACUAGAGCUUCUAAAUGUUUUUGGGAAAAAAAACAAAGCCCAGGCAGAGCUACUCGCUUUGGAAUAAUCACUAGCUCUGCAGCUGGGAGAGGAUGAGGCAGAACAGGUAGCCGUCUCAGGAGAGCUUGCUUCCCAGGCAUGCGUACUGACUACCUGCCAUUAGUGGUGAGAGCGUUAAUAGAACCUCAGUUAAAAUUUCAUCUUAAUGUUCUUUCUAGCAAAAUAUUGGACAAGAACAGUAUAUUUACAUAAAAACUCYGAAGAAAACCAUGAAUUCAUGAGCGGCUCCAGUAGCAAGUAUUUCCUUUGAAAAAGAUGCUCUGGUGUCCUGUGCUAGACACAAGUAGUUGAAGAUAUUUCUGUAGACUAAAGGGACAGAAUGUAUUUUUUGGAUGAUUGUGACUACUACACUGAUAAAGGGCAGAGCAAACCAGCAGUCACCUGCAUAAGAAAUGAACGCUGUUUUGUCUUAGUGAAAUCAGAAUCUGUAGUUUAUAUUUGGGGUAUUAAAAACUUGAACUCGUGCUUUGGAAUAAUCUGUGUUAUGAUUCUUCUUUUCUGAAUAUCUGGGACUUAAUUUCUCCAUU
rnacentral:lncRNA from 1 species